CCUACGGGCGGCACCAGUAGGGAAUCUUCGGCAAUGGACGAAAGUCUGACCGAGCAACGCCGCGUGAGUGAAGAAGGUUCUCGGAUCGUAAAACUCUGUUGGUAGAGAAGAACGUUGGUGAGAGUGGGAAGCUCAUCAAGUGACGGUAACUACCCAGAAAGGGACGGCUAACUACGUGCCAGCAGCCGCGGUAAUACGUAGGUCCCGAGCGUUGGCCGGAUUUAUUGGGCGUAAAGCGAGCGCAGGUGGUUUAUUAAGUCUGGUGUAAAAGGCAGUGGCUCAACCAUUGUAUGCAUUGGAAACUGGUAGACUUGAGUGCAGGAGAGGAGAGUGGGAUUCCAUGUGUAGCGGUGAAAUGCGUAGAUAUAUGGAGGAACACCGGUGGCGAAAGCGGCUCUCUGGCCUGUAACUGACACUGAGGCUCGAAAGCGUGGGGAGCAAACAGGAUUAGAUACCCGCGUAGUC
rnacentral:rRNA from 1 species